GGAGAGGUGCCCGAGUGGCCAAUGGGGGCGGACUGUAAAUCCGCUGGCGGAUCGCCUUCGAUGGUUCAAAUCCAUCCUUCUCCACCA
rnacentral:tRNA from 1 species